rnacentral:rRNA from 1 species
GACAGAGGGUGCAAACGUUGUUCGGAAUUACUGGGCGUAAAGCGCGUGUAGGCGGCUAUGUAAGUCGGAUGUGAAAGCCCUCGGCUCAACCGGGGAAGUGCACUCGAAACUGCGUAGCUAGAGUCUCGGAGAGGAUCGUGGAAUUCUCGGUGUAGAGGUGAAAUUCGUAGAUAUUGGGAAGAACACCCGUGGCGAAGGCGGUUCUCUGGGACGGUACUGACGCUGAGACGCGAAAGCGUGGGGAGCGAACAGG